rnacentral:lncRNA from 1 species
UCUGUUUCAGAUAUGAAUGAAUGAUGGCCAUCCAGUGACCAGCUGAGACUGACGCCUUACAAGAUGCAUGUGUAUGAUUAAGAGAGAUACAUGCAUGACUCCUGGAUUUACCUCCUUCCUGUCCCACAGAGUUACUGAAGGGAGUGAGUUAUGGAGUAACUUAUAACACGGCAGGCUUUUCCUCAAGAUAGCCCUUGUCAAAACAGGAAGAUGAAACUCAUGUUUCAACGAAGAGACCUCAGUUUGGGGUCCUGUCUGGAUGUACCUCUUAAUUACAAGCAGAAACGCCUUCAUACUUUUCCAUUUCUAACCAUCACAUCCCCAAAGGAGGCAUCUGCUGAGAGGUUAGAAAUAUCAAGUUCACCUUUCACUUCGGCAUGCCCCAACAUUUGACAGCCACUUCUUGGAUGAGAGUUGAGCGUGCGAAGAGGAACCGGGAAGAGAGAGCUCCAAGCUCUCACUUCUCUCCCAUGUGCCCCAGGGUGACUGCAACAGCUCCAUAAAUUACUGCUGCCCUUUUGAACUGACCUCCAGGUUCAGGAGAUGUAAAUAUUGAUGGCCUUGACACAGCCACCCCAACCCUGGUAUGCACUCUGCUCGGGAGAUGAAAUCUCUUCAGCUAACUGAAAGCAGGUGGGCUAGCGGAUCAACUGCUCUGGAUUCUCCACCAUCCAUAAUUCUGAGCCAACUACCCCAGUCCUGUCUCCCUUGGCACAAGGCAAGGG